rnacentral:rRNA from 1 species
CUGAAACUCAAAGGAAUUGACGGGGGCCCGCACAAGCGGUGGAGCAUGUGGUUUAAUUCGACGCAACGCGAAGAACCUUACCCAGGCUUGAACUGCAGAGGACACUCUAAGAAAUUAGACUUCCGCAAGGACCUCUGUAGAGGUGCUGCAUGGCUGUCGUCAGCUCGUGUCGUGAGAUGUUGGGUUAAGUCCCGCAACGAGCGCAACCCUUGUCUUCUGUUGCCAUCAGGUUAAGCUGGGCACUCUGAAGAGACUGCCGGUGACAAACCGGAGGAAGGUGGGGAUGACGUCAAGUCAGCAUGGCCUUUAUGUCUGGGGCCACACACGUGCUACAAUGGCAGGUACAAACCGUCGCGAGACCGCAAGGUGGAGCUAAUCGGAUAAAGCCUGUCUCAGUUCGGAUUGUCGGCUGCAACUCGCCGGCAUGAAGUUGGAAUCGCUAGUAAUCGCGGAUCAGCACGCCGCGGUGAAUACGUUCCCGGGCCUUGUACACACCGCCCGUCACAUCACGAAAGCUGGCUGUACUAGAACUAGCAGCGCUAACCCGCAAGGGAGGCAUGUUCCUAAGGUAU